CCACGCCCGUCUCGCCUUAGGAGGCUCGCGAGGGUCACCCCGGAGGCAGGAGUCAGAAGGGCGCCACUGCCUCGUCCCAGCGCCCGGGCCUGAGCAGCCGGACCGCACCCCCUGCCCGAGCGGCCGCGGUCAGCAUCCCGCCAGGACCCGGCCCCGCCACCAUCCGGCCCUUACCGCUCGGAUCCGCUCUGCCUCCUCGGCGCGGCCCAGGGCGGCUCGCCCGGAACCUGAGGCGCAAGGACCGCAGGUUCGCCAUCACUGGCCUAAGCCGACGCCAGCCCAGCAGCCGGCCCCACCUCUCGCUGGCCUUUUGGACUAACCUAUGCUGCUUGACCUCGUCACACCUGUCUCCUCCACUGCUGACCCGGACAGUGAGAACCUCGCUUUGGAGCUGACAUGUGCUCCCCUCCCACCGGCUGCUGAGGUCAGUGAUACUCCACGGCGGGACGGUGGAACCUCGGAACGGAGUAUGACUCACCAGAUGGAGAUGAGGACGGGAAAGCUUGAUUUUAAGAAUCAC